UGAGUCGGCCAGGCGGUCGCGUCGGUGAGCAAUCACCGCCGAGGAACGUCCGGGCUCCACAGGGCGCAGUGGUGGCUAACGGCCACCCGGGGUGACCCGCGGGACAGUGCCACAGAAAACAGACCGCCAAGGCGAACCGCCGGCCCUCGGGCCGGUAGGCGUCAGGGCAAGGGUGAAACGGUGGUGUAAGAGACCACCAGCGGCCCCGGUGACGGGGUCGGCUUGGUAAACCCCACUGGGAGCAAGCUCAGACAGUGUGCGUCCGAGGGCUGCCCGCCCGAGCACACGGGUAGAGCGCUGGAGGCAGUCGGCAACGGCUGUCGUAGAUGGAUGACCGUCGCCGCGCCGCUGGUAACGGCGGCGCGGAACAGAACCCGGCGUAUCGGCCGACUCAUCCA
rnacentral:RNase_P_RNA from 1 species